rnacentral:rRNA from 1 species
AAUGGACGAAAGUCUGACGCAGCGACGCCGCGUGGGGGAUGAAGGUCUUCGGAUUGUAAACCCCUUUCGGGAGGGAAGAUGGAGUGGGUAACCACUUGGACGGUACCUCCAGAAGCAGCCACGGCUAACUUCGUGCCAGCAGCCGCGGUAAUACGAAGGUGGCAAGCGUUGUUCGGAUUCACUGGGCGUACAGGGAGCGUAGGCGGUUGGGUAAGCCCUCCGUGAAAUCUCCGGGCCUAACCCGGAAAGUGCAGAGGAGACUGCUCAGCUAGAGGAUGGGAGAGGAGCGCGGAAUUCCCGGUGUAGCGGUGAAAUGCGUAGAGAUCGGUAGGAAGGCCGAUGGCGAAGGCAGCCCCCUGGGCCAAUACUGACGCUCAUGCACGAAAGCGUGGGGAGCAAA